rnacentral:tRNA from 1 species
GCCGCUAUAGUUCAAUGGUAUAAUACAGCAAUGGUAAUGCUUCGUUCCGAGUUCGAUUCUCGGUGGUGGCA